AUUGAACGCUGGCGGCAGGCUUAACACAUGCAAGUCGAGCGGAGCGAGGGUGCUUGCACCUUAGCUUAGCGGCGGACGGGUGAGUAAUGCUUAGGCAUCUGCCUAUUAGUGGGGGACAACAUUCCGAAAGGAAUGCUAAUACCGCAUACGCCCUACGGGGGAAAGCAGGGGAUCUUCGGACCUUGCGCUACUAGAUGAGCCUAAGUCGGAUUAGCUAGUGGUGGGGUAAAGGCCUACCAAUGCGACGAUCUGUAGCGGGUCUGAGAGGAUGAUCCGCCACACUGGGACGGAGACACGGCCCAGACUCCUACGGGAGGCAGCAAUGGGGAAUAUUGGACAAUGGGCGGAAGCCUGAUCCAGCCAUGCCGCGUGUGUGAAGAAGGCCUUUUGGUUGUAAAGCACUUUAAGCGAGGAGGAGGCUACUUAGAUUAAUACUCUGGGAUAGUGGACGUUACUCGCAGAAUAAGCACCGGCUAACUCUGUGCCAGCCGCCGCGGUAACAC
rnacentral:rRNA from 1 species